AAUAUUGGACAAUGGAGGAAACUCUGAUGCAGCGACGCCGCGUGAACGAAGAAGGCUUNCGAGUCNUNAAGUCCUGUCCUAGGGGNAGAGAAUGACGGUACCCUAGGAGGAAGCCCCGGCUAACCACGUGCCAGCAGACGCGGUAAUACGUAGGGGGCAAGCGUUGUCCGGAUUUAUUGGGCGUAAAGGGUUCGCAGGCGGCCUUUUAAGUCAGAUGUGAAAGACUACAGCUCCUCUGUGGUAAGCAUUUGAAACUGAAAGGCUUGAGUUUAGGCAAGGAAAGUGGAAUUCCUAGUGUCGCGGUGAAAUGCGUAGAUAUUAAGAGGAAUACCAGUGGCGAAGGCGACUUUCUGGACUUAUACUGACGCUGAGGAACGAAAGCGUGGGGAGCAAACAGG
rnacentral:rRNA from 1 species